rnacentral:lncRNA from 1 species
AUUAUCCUGAUUUAAUGUAUAAUUUUCGCAGAAUUUUUUUAAUAGUUAAAAGGCUUGUUUGAAAAUAUAUUUUAUUUGGGUCUUUUCGUCGUUGUAGGUGCUGAGACGGCCGUAAAACCUCAAUCUUAGAACGUGACGAAUUUGUGAGCACUAAUAGAGGCAAGUAAAUAGCUACUUUCUGCAAACGGUAGAAAAUAUGCGAAUCCGAGUGGGUUCGAGACAUAAUUAUUAUCUGUUUUGUUUACUAAUUGUUGAUACAUCCGAGUGGAUUUUAUAGUUAUUAUUGACAGACAUGGUUUAUUUAUUUUGAACAUUAUUAUUAUUAUGUUCUAUUAUUGGAUAUGACUGUUGUGGUCGGAUUCCUCGGAGGAGAGGGAUUUAUUCAGUACGCGGUUUCCGAGGAGAAACGACGCGUAAUUGUAGCUCUCGCGGUUAGAGCG